GUCGUGACUGCGUGCCUUUUGAAGAAUGAGCCUGCGAGUUAGCGGUGUGUAGCGAGGUUAACCCGUGUGGGGAAGCCGUAGCGAAAGCGAGUCCGAACAGGGCGUUUGAGUUGCACGCUCUAGACCCGAAGCGGAGUGAUCUAGCCAUGGGCAGGUUGAAGCGGAGGUAAGACUUCGUGGAGGACCGAACCCACCAGGGUUGAAAACCUGGGGGAUGACCUGUGGUUAGGGGUGAAAGGCCAAUCAAACUCCGUGAUAGCUGGUUCUCCCCGAAAUGCAUUUAGGUGCAGCGUCGUGUGUUUCUUGCCGGAGGUAGAGCACUGGAUAGGCGAUGGGCCCUACCGGGUUACUGACCUUAGCCAAACUCCGAAUGCCGGUAAGUGAGAGCGCGGCAGUGAGACUGUGGGGGAUAAGCUCCAUGGUCGAGAGGGAAACAGCCCAGAGCAUCGACUAAGGCCCCUAAGCGUACGCUAAGUGGGAAAGGAUGUGGAGUCGCAGAGACAACCAGGAGGUUGGCUUAGAAGCAGCCACCCUUGAAAGAGUGCGUAAUAGCUCACUGGUCAAGUGAUUCCGCGCCGACAAUGUAGCGGGGCUCAAGCGUACCGCCGAAGUCGUGUCAUUCAUACACAUAUCCUCAACGGGAGUAUGGAUGGGUAGGGGAGCGUCGUGUGCCGGGUGAAGCAGCCGCGGAAGCGAGUUGUGGACGGUUCACGAGUGAGAAUGCAGGCAUGAGUAGCGAUACACACGUGAGAAACGUGUGCGCCGAUUGACUAAGGGUUCCUGGGUCAAGCUGAUCUGCCCAGGGUAAGUCGGGACCUAAGGCGAGGCCGACAGGCGUAGUCGAUGGACAACCGGUUGAUAUUCCGGUACCCGCUUUGAAACGCCCAGUACUGAAUCAGGCGAUGCUAAGUCCGUGAAGCCGGCCCGAUCUCUUCGGAGUUGAGGGUAGUGGUGGAGCCGAUGAACCAGACUUGUAGUAGGUAAGCGAUGGGGUGACGCAGGAAGGUAGUCCAGCCCGGGCGGUGGUUGUCCCGGGGUAAGGGUGUAGGACG
rnacentral:rRNA from 1 species